rnacentral:rRNA from 1 species
GGAUAACUUACCCUUUAGGACUGGGAUAACUCUGGGAAACUGGGGAUAAUACUGGAUAUUAGGCUAUGCCUGGAAUGGUUUGCCUUUGAAAUGUUUUUUCGCCUAAGGAUAGGUCUGCGGCUGAUUAGGUCGUUGGUGGGGUAAUGGCCCACCAAGCCGAUGAUCGGUACGGGUUGUGAGAGCAAGGGCCCGGAGAUGGAACCUGAGACAAGGUUCCAGACCCUACGGGGUGCAGCAGGCGCGAAACCUCCGCAAUGUACGAAAGUGCGACGGGGGGAUCCCAAGUGUUAUGCUUUUUUGUAUGACUUUUCAUUAGUGUAAAAAGCUUUUAGAAUAAGAGCUGGGCAAGACCGGUGCCAGCCGCCGCGGUAACACCGGCAGCUCGAGUGGUAGCUGUUUUUAUUGGGCCUAAAGCGUUCGUAGCCGGUUUGAUAAGUCUUUGGUGAAAGCUUGUAGCUUAACUAUAAGAAUUGCUGGAGAUACUAUUAGACUUGAAGUCGGGAGAGGUUAGAGGUACUACCGGGGUAGGGGUGAAAUCCUAUAAUCCUGGGAGGACCACCUGUGGCGAAGGCGUCUAACUGGAACGAUCUUGACGGUGAGUAACGAAAGCCAGGGGCGCGAACCGGAUUAGAUACCCGGGUAGUCCUGGCCGUAAACGAUGUGGACUUGGUGUUGGAAUGGCUUUGAGUUGUUCCGGUGCCGAAGGGAAGCUGUUAAGUCCACCGCCUGGGAAGUACGGUCGCAAGACUGAAACUUAA